rnacentral:misc_RNA from 1 species
GUUUUACUUGUGUUCUAUUGUAGCUAGUUUGAUAUCAAAGUAAACUGUUAAAUUGACAUCAUAUGUGGGGCAAUCUCCAAAAGAGGGGUUCCUUAGAAUUCAUUAGCUUAUAAUUUGUGGAAAAACUAUGCUGCAUGUCUGUUUGGAAACUUCAACUAAAAUCUACACAUUUGAAAGGAUACAAAAGCUAGGUCGCUGUAGUUAACAUCAACUUUGUAACGAAGUAGCAUAUGUGUAAUCUAGGUAGAUAAUAUUUUUUUAACUAAAAUUUG